AAAUUGAAGAGUUUGAUCAUGGCUCAGAUUGAACGCUGGCGGCAGGCCUAACACAUGCAAGUCGAACGGUAACAGGAAGCAGCUUGCUGCUUUGCUGACGAGUGGCGGACGGGUGAGUAAUGUCUGGGAAACUGCCUGAUGGAGGGGGAUAACUACUGGAAACGGUAGCUAAUACCGCAUAACGUCGCAAGACCAAAGAGGGGGACCUUCGGGCCUCUUGCCAUCGGAUGUGCCCAGAUGGGAUUAGCUUGUUGGUGGGGUAACGGCUCACCAAGGCGACGAUCCCUAGCUGGUCUGAGAGGAUGACCAGCCACACUGGAACUGAGACACGGUCCAGACUCCUACGGGAGGCAGCAGUGGGGAAUAUUGCACAAUGGGCGCAAGCCUGAUGCAGCCAUGCCGCGUGUAUGAAGAAGGCCUUCGGGUUGUAAAGUACUUUCAGCGGGGAGGAAGGGAGUAAAGUUAAUACCUUUGCUCAUUGACGUUACCCGCAGAAGAAGCACCGGCUAACUCCGUGCCAGCAGCCGCGGUAAUACGGAGGGUGCAAGCGUUAAUCGGAAUUACUGGGCGUAAAGCGCACGCAGGCGGUUUGUUAAGUCAGAUGUGAAAUCCCCGGGCUCAACCUGGGAACUGCAUCUGAUACUGGCAAGCUUGAGUCUCGUAGAGGGGGGUAGAAUUCCAGGUGUAGCGGUGAAAUGCGUAGAGAUCUGGAGGAAUACCGGUGGCGAAGGCGGCCCCCUGGACGAAGACUGACGCUCAGGUGCGAAAGCGUGGGGAGCAAACAGGAUUAGAUACCCUGGUAGUCCACGCCGUAAACGAUGUCGACUUGGAGGUUGUGCCCUUGAGGCGUGGCUUCCGGAGCUAACGCGUUAAGUCGACCGCCUGGGGAGUACGGCCGCAAGGUUAAAACUCAAAUGAAUUGACGGGGGCCCGCACAAGCGGUGGAGCAUGUGGUUUAAUUCGAUGCAACGCGAAGAACCUUACCUGGUCUUGACAUCCACAGAACUUUCCAGAGAUGGAUUGGUGCCUUCGGGAACUGUGAGACAGGUGCUGCAUGGCUGUCGUCAGCUCGUGUUGUGAA
rnacentral:rRNA from 1 species